GACAGAGGGUGCAAGCGUUGUCCGGAAUCACUGGGCGUAAAGGGCGCGUAGGCGGCCCGAUAAGUAGGGGGUGAAAUCUUGCGGCUCAACCGCAAGGCUGCCUUCUAGACUGUCGGGCUUGAGCACAGUAGAGGCAGGUGGAAUUCCCGGUGUAGCGGUGGAAUGCGUAGAGAUCGGGAAGAACAUCGGUGGCGAAGGCGGCCUGCUGGGCUGUUGCUGACGCUGAGGCGCGACAGCGUGGGGAGCAAACAGG
rnacentral:rRNA from 1 species